CUGUAACGGUACCCGUACCUCGUACCAGGUACCCGUAGGGUUUGUUCUUUGCUGGGAUAGACUGGUGAGUAACACGUGGGAACGUGCCUUUAGGUUCGGAAUAGCUCCUGGAAACGGGUGGUAAUGCCGAAUGUGCCCUUCGGGGGAAAGAUUUAUCGCCUUUAGAGCGGCCCGCGUCUGAUUAGCUAGUUGGUGAGGUAACGGCUCACCAAGGCGACGAUCAGUAGCUGGUCUGAGAGGAUGACCAGCCACACUGGGACUGAGACACGGCCCAGACUCCUACGGGAGGCAGCAGUGGGGAAUCUUGCGCAAUGGGCGAAAGCCUGACGCAGCCAUGCCGCGUGAAUGAUGAAGGUCUUAGGAUUGUAAAAUUCUUUCACCGGGGACGAUAAUGACGGUACCCGGAGAAGAAGCCCCGGCUAACUUCGUGCCAGCAGCCGCGGUAAUACGAAGGGGGCUAGCGUUGCUCGGAAUUACUGGGCGUAAAGGGCGCGUAGGCGGAUCGUUAAGUCAGAGGUGAAAUCCCAGGGCUCAACCCUGGAACUGCCUUUGAUACUGGCGAUCUUGAGUAUGAGAGAGGUAUGUGGAACUCCGAGUGUAGAGGUGAGAUUCGUAGAUAUUCGGAAGAACACCAGUGGCGAAGGCGACAUACUGGCUCAUUACUGACGCUGAGGCGCGAAAGCGUGGGGA
rnacentral:rRNA from 1 species